rnacentral:rRNA from 1 species
AGAGUUUGAUCAUGGCUCAGAUUGAACGCUGGCGGCAUGCCUUACACAUGCAAGUCGAACGGCAGCACGGGGGCAACCCUGGUGGCGAGUGGCGAACGGGUGAGUAAUGCAUCGGAACGUGUCCUGUUGUGGGGGAUAACCAGUCGAAAGAUUGGCUAAUACCGCAUGAGAUCGAGAGAUGAAAGCGGGGGACCGCAAGGCCUCGCGCGAUAGGAGCGGCCGAUGCCGGAUUAGCUAGUUGGCGGGGUAAAAGCCCACCAAGGCGACGAUCUGUAGCUGGUCUGAGAGGAUGAUCAGCCACACUGGGACUGAGACACGGCCCAGACUCCUACGGGAGGCAGCAGUGGGGAAUUUUGGACAAUGGGCGCAAGCCUGAUCCAGCCAUGCCGCGUGUGUGAAGAAGGCCUUCGGGUUGUAAAGCACUUUCGGCCGGAACGAAAUCGCGCGGGUGAAUAAUCCGCGUGGAUGACGGUACCGGAAGAAGAAGCACCGGCUAACUACGUGCCAGCAGCCGCGGUAAUACGUAGGGUGCGAGCGUUAAUCGGAAUUACUGGGCGUAAAGGGUGCGCAGGCGGCUUCGCAUGUCAGAUGUGAAAUCCCCGAGCUUAACUUGGGAAUUGCAUUUGAAACUACGAGGCUGGAGUGCGGCAGAGGGAGGUGGAAUUCCACGUAGCGGUGAAAUGCGUAGAGAUGUGGAGGAACACCGAUGGCGAAGGCAGCCUCCUGGGCCGACACUGACGCUCAUGCACGAAAGCGUGGGGAGCAAACAGGAUUAGAUACCCUAGUAGUCC